AUACAUACAUCAGUUUUACUUACAGUUGAACCGGAACGUCUGUCAGGAAACGUGAAAACGCUCUUCCAAGAACAAAGAAGAUGAUGUUGUCAUGAAUUAGCCACUUCAUGUUUAAACGCUAUGCACGGCUACUUUUGUCAAGAAGAAAGGUCCUGGAAGGGCUUUCCACGACUCUGCUUGAAUACGUGUUUGACCAUCUCGUCACCCCAACCAGGAUUAGAAUACAAGAUCAUUUUCAUAAAAUGGCCGCAUUCAGAGAUCGAUUCACAUUUUGUUCCGCACCCACCUCAUAUCAAGGCCAAUGUCGUGGUGAUAACUUCGUGGAUAUGCCAUUUUCCAAGGAUAUUAUGUUUCCUGUACCCAUGAGACACGAAGAAGACGGUGUAAAAUGUGCAUAGUGGUUCUUCAACCCAGAUGGUCUGUGGUCCAAUUUGCCUUGAAGAAACCAAUGCAAUCAUUUCAAGACAUUCGAGUCCGGAUUCUUGAGUACAAAUCGGCUUAGUCAGUUGAACUUUUCUGACCUGAACCGAUUCUUCAAAAAGGAACUGGACCUGGACAACUCUGACCUCAAAGUGCUUUUCGAAGAAACUCUCACUCAAAUGGCAAAAUUAUGCCUGGAACUGCCCAAAUUAAAUUACCCAACCUAUUCCACUUCUCCGAAAGUUUUGCGACUCCUCCGUGACCUUUAGUCAAAGGCAGAUCGCUUCGCUUUUGGCCAAUGCGUUCUUUUGCACAUUCCCUAAACGAUUUUCAGCCAAGGAAAAUAUUCAAG